AGAUUGAACGCUGGCGGCAUGCCUUACACAUGCAAGUCGAACGGCAGCACGGGGGCAACCUUGGUGGCGAGUGGCGAACGGGUGAGUAAUAUAUCGGAACGUGCCCUAGAGUGGGGGAUAACGUAGCGAAAGUUACGCUAAUACCGCAUACGAUCUACGGAUGAAAGUGGGGGAUCGCAAGACCUCAUGCUCGUGGAGCGGCCGAUAUCUGAUUAGCUAGUUGGUAGGGUAAAAGCCUACCAAGGCAUCGAUCAGUAGCUGGUCUGAGAGGACGAUCAGCCACACUGGGAUUGAGAACGGCCCAGACUCCUACGGGGGGCAGCAGUGAGGAAUUUUCCGCAAUGGGCGCAAGCCUGACGGAGCAACGCCGCGUGCAGGAAGGCGGUUUUCGGAUCGUAAACUGCUUUUCUCGGGGACGAGAACGGACGGUACCCGAGGAAUCAGCCCGGCUAACCUACGUGCCAGCAGCCGC
rnacentral:rRNA from 1 species